rnacentral:rRNA from 1 species
UACGAAGGGGACUAGCGUUGUUCGGAAUCACUGGGCGUAAAGCGCACGUAGGCGGAUAUGUCAGUCAGGGGUGAAAUCCCGGGGCUCAACCUCGGAACUGCCUUUGAUACAGCAUAUCUUGAGUCCGAUAGAGGUGGGUGGAAUUCCUAGUGUAGAGGUGAAAUUCGUGGAUAUUAGGAAGAACACCGGUGGCGAAGGCGGCCCACUGGAUCGGUACUGACGCUGAGGUGCGAAAGCGUGGGGAGCAAACAGG